rnacentral:rRNA from 2 species
UUAAGCGACUAAGCGUACACGGUGGAUGCCCUGGCAGUCAGAGGCGAUGAAGGACGUGCUAAUCUGCGAUAAGCGUCGGUGAGGUGAUAUGAACCGUUAUAACCGGCGAUUUCCGAAUGGGGAAACCCAGUGUGUUUCGACACACUAUCAUUAACUGAAUCCAUAGGUUAAUGAGGCGAACCGGGGGAACUGAAACAUCUAAGUACCCCGAGGAAAAGAAAUCAACCGAGAUUCCCCCAGUAGCGGCGAGCGAACGGGGAGGAGCCCAGAGCCUGAAUCAGUGUGUGUGUUAGUGGAAGCGUCUGGAAAGGCGCGCGAUACAGGGUGACAGCCCCGUACACAAAAAUGCACAUGCUGUGAGCUCGAUGAGUAGGGCGGGACACGUGGUAUCCUGUCUGAAUAUGGGGGGACCAUCCUCCAAGGCUAAAUACUCCUGACUGACCGAUAGUGAACCAGUACCGUGAGGGAAAGGCGAAAAGAACCCCGGCGAGGGGAGUGAAAAAGAACCUGAAACCGUGUACGUACAAGCAGUGGGAGCCUCUUUAUGGGGUGACUGCGUACCUUUUGUAUAAUGGGUCAGCGACUUAUAUUCUGUAGCAAGGUUAACCGAAUAGGGGAGCCGAAGGGAAACCGAGUCUUAACUGGGCGUUAAGUUGCAGGGUAUAGACCCGAAACCCGGUGAUCUAGCCAUGGGCAGGUUGAAGGUUGGGUAACACUAACUGGAGGACCGAACCGACUAAUGUUGAAAAAUUAGCGGAUGACUUGUGGCUGGGGGUGAAAGGCCAAUCAAACCGGGAGAUAGCUGGUUCUCCCCGAAAGCUAUUUAGGUAGCGCCUCGUAAAUUCAUCUCCGGGGGUAGAGCACUGUUUCGGCAAGGGGGUCAUCCCGACUUACCAACCCGAUGCAAACUGCGAAUACCGGAGAAUGUUAUCACGGGAGACACACGGCGGGUGCUAACGUCCGUCGUGAAGAGGGAAACAACCCAGACCGCCAGCUAAGGUCCCAAAGUCAUGGUUAAGUGGGAAACGAUGUGGGAAGGCCCAGACAGCCAGGAUGUUGGCUUAGAAGCAGCCAUCAUUUAAAGAAAGCGUAAUAGCUCACUGGUCGAGUCGGCCUGCGCGGAAGAUGUAACGGGGCUAAACCAUGCACCGAAGCUGCGGCAGCGACACUAUGUGUUGUUGGGUAGGGGAGCGUUCUGUAAGCCUGUGAAGGUGGCCUGUGAGGGUUGCUGGAGGUAUCAGAAGUGCGAAUGCUGACAUAAGUAACGAUAAAGCGGGUGAAAAGCCCGCUCGCCGGAAGACCAAGGGUUCCUGUCCAACGUUAAUCGGGGCAGGGUGAGUCGACCCCUAAGGCGAGGCCGAAAGGCGUAGUCGAUGGGAAACAGGUUAAUAUUCCUGUACUUGGUGUUACUGCGAAGGGGGGACGGAGAAGGCUAUGUUGGCCGGGCGACGGUUGUCCCGGUUUAAGCGUGUAGGCUGGUUUUCCAGGCAAAUCCGGAAAACCAAGGCUGAGGCGUGAUGACGAGGCACUACGGUGCUGAAGCGACAAAUGCCCUGCUUCCAGGAAAAGCCUCUAAGCAUCAGGUAACAUCAAAUCGUACCCCAAACCGACACAGGUGGUCAGGUAGAGAAUACCAAGGCGCUUGAGAGAACUCGGGUGAAGGAACUAGGCAAAAUGGUGCCGUAACUUCGGGAGAAGGCACGCUGAUAUGUAGGUGAAGCGACUUGCUCGUGGAGCUGAAAUCAGUCGAAGAUACCAGCUGGCUGCAACUGUUUAUUAAAAACACAGCACUGUGCAAACACGAAAGUGGACGUAUACGGUGUGACGCCUGCCCGGUGCCGGAAGGUUAAUUGAUGGGGUUAGCGGCAACGCGAAGCUCUUGAUCGAAGCCCCGGUAAACGGCGGCCGUAACUAUAACGGUCCUAAGGUAGCGAAAUUCCUUGUCGGGUAAGUUCCGACCUGCACGAAUGGCGUAAUGAUGGCCAGGCUGUCUCCACCCGAGACUCAGUGAAAUUGAACUCGCUGUGAAGAUGCAGUGUACCCGCGGCAAGACGGAAAGACCCCGUGAACCUUUACUAUAGCUUGACACUGAACAUUGAGCCUUGAUGUGUAGGAUAGGUGGGAGGCUUUGAAGUGUGGACGCCAGUCUGCAUGGAGCCGACCUUGAAAUACCACCCUUUAAUGUUUGAUGUUCUAACGUGGGCCCCUAAUCGGGGUUGCGGACAGUGUCUGGUGGGUAGUUUGACUGGGGCGGUCUCCUCCUAAAGAGUAACGGAGGAGCACGAAGGUUGGCUAAUCCUGGUCGGACAUCAGGAGGUUAGUGCAAUGGCAUAAGCCAGCUUGACUGCGAGCGUGACGGCGCGAGCAGGUGCGAAAGCAGGUCAUAGUGAUCCGGUGGUUCUGAAUGGAAGGGCCAUCGCUCAACGGAUAAAAGGUACUCCGGGGAUAACAGGCUGAUACCGCCCAAGAGUUCAUAUCGACGGCGGUGUUUGGCACCUCGAUGUCGGCUCAUCACAUCCUGGGGCUGAAGUAGGUCCCAAGGGUAUGGCUGUUCGCCAUUUAAAGUGGUACGCGAGCUGGGUUUAGAACGUCGUGAGACAGUUCGGUCCCUAUCUGCCGUGGGCGCUGGAGAACUGAGGGGGGCUGCUCCUAGUACGAGAGGACCGGAGUGGACGCAUCACUGGUGUUCGGGUUGUCAUGCCAAUGGCACUGCCCGGUAGCUAAAUGCGGAAGAGAUAAGUGCUGAAAGCAUCUAAGCACGAAACUUGCCCCGAGAUGAGUUCUCCCUGAGACCUAGAGUCUCCUGAAGGAACGUUGAAGACGACGACGUUGAUAGGCCGGGUGUGUAAGCGCAGCGAUGCGUUGAGCUAACCGGUACUAAUGAACCGUGAGGCUUAACCUU